GGGCUCGCUUUGGCAGUACAUACGCUAAAAUUGAAACAAUACAGAGAAGAUUAAUGUGGCCCCUGCACAAGGAUGAUACACAGAGUCAUGAAGUGGCCAUAUUUUAU